rnacentral:rRNA from 1 species
AACGAACGCUGGCGGCAUGCCUAACACAUGCAAGUCGAACGAUGCCUCCGGGCCUAGUGGCGCACGGGUGCGUAACGCGUGGGAAUCUGCCCUUGGGUUCGGAAUAACUCGCCGAAAGGCGAGCUAAUACCGGAUGAUGACGUAAGUCCAAAGAUUUAUCGCCCAAGGAUGAGCCCGCGUAGGAUUAGCUAGUUGGUGGGGUAAAGGCCCACCAAGGCAACGAUCCUUAGCUGGUCUGAGAGGAUGAUCAGCCACACUGGGACUGAGACACGGCCCAGACUCCUACGGGAGGCAGCAGUGGGGAAUAUUGGACAAUGGGCGAAAGCCUGAUCCAGCAAUGCCGCGUGAGUGAUGAAGGCCUUAGGGUUGUAAAGCUCUUUUACCCGGGAUGAUAAUGACAGUACCGGGAGAAUAAGCUCCGGCUAACUCCGUG